rnacentral:rRNA from 1 species
UACGUAGGGGGCAAGCGUUGUCCGGAAUUAUUGGGCGUAAAGAGCGCGUAGGCGGUCCGAUAAGUCGGCUGUGAAAGUCAGGGGCUCAACCCUUGAAAGCCGGCCGAUACUGUCGGACUAGAGUCCGGAAGAGGCGAGUGGAAUUCCCGGUGUAGCGGUGAAAUGCGCAGAUAGUCGGGAGGAACACCGGUGGCGAAGGCGGCGACCUGGGUAGAUACUGACGCUGAGGUGCGAAAGCGUGGGGAGCAACAGG